UGGCGGACGGGUGAGUAAUGUCUGGGAAACUGCCUGAUGGAGGGGGAUAACUACUGGAAACGGUAGCUAAUACCGCAUAACGUCGCAAGACCAAANAGGGGGACCUUCGGGCCUCUUGCCAUCGGAUGUGCCCAGAUGGGAUUAGCUAGUAGGUGGGGUAAAGGCUCACCUAGGCGACGAUCCCUAGCUGGUCUGAGAGGAUGACCAGCCACACUGGAACUGAGACACGGUCCAGACUCCUACGGGAGGCAGCAUG
rnacentral:rRNA from 1 species